AUGGGGGUCAGCGAGGGGAAGCUGCGCUACGUCCAAGUGUCCCAUGGACACAAGCACGACAAGUGGUGCGUGAUCCUUUCGUUUUUGCUGGAUGACGAGACCUACAGCUGGGCGCUGGAUCACGGAGUUGAAAUUACAGAUCGGCAAGACCCUUGCUAUGUUCAAAUUGCUGCCGUAGAUCCAUUCAAUGCCAACCUUGUGUACCUCCAACAUGGUAGCGCUGUUAUUGCCAUGGACCUGGCUAAGGGGAAGGAGAUUUGGAGGGGUUACCUGCCUAAGGAAUUCCUCUUUCAGAAGUUGCUCCACUGUAGUCUUCUUGUUCCGUGCGUGCUCCCAACAUGGCUUGCCACAAGCCAUAUCCCUUCUGCAGGAACCCUUUCAAGCAACAAGGCUGAUUGCAAAAGGAAGACUUUGGCAGACAUACUGGUUCGCAUAGACAAAUGUUAG
rnacentral:rRNA from 1 species